rnacentral:rRNA from 1 species
CCUACGGGUGGCAGCAGUGGGGAAUAUUGGACAAUGGGGGCAACCCUGAUCCAGCCAUGCCGCGUGUGUGAAGAAGGCCCUCGGGUUGUAAAGCACUUUCAGUGAGGAAGAACGCCUGGUGGUUAAUACCCAUCAGGAAAGACAUCACUCACAGAAGAAGCACCGGCUAACUCCGUGCCAGCAGCCGCGGUAAUACGGAGGGUGCGAGCGUUAAUCGGAAUUACUGGGCGUAAAGCGCGCGUAGGUGGCUUGAUAAGCCGGUUGUGAAAGCCCCGGGCUCAACCUGGGAACGGCAUCCGGAACUGUCAAGCUAGAGUGCAGGAGAGGAAGGUAGAAUUCCCGGUGUAGCGGUGAAAUGCGUAGAGAUCGGGAGGAAUACCAGUGGCGAAGGCGGCCUUCUGGACUGACAUUGACACUGAGGUGCGAAAGCGUGGGUAGCAAACAGGAUUAGAUACCCUUGUAGUC